UUUGUUACCAGAACUCUUUAUCAAUCCCAACAGGUAACGGAAUUCCGGUUCGGAUUGUCGGUCGGUUCUGAUUUAUAAACCAAUUGUCACCAGAUCCAAAGAAUAAAAACUGAGCGCGGAGGAGAACUCGGAGCAGCUCCUGUUCCGGGAACAACCCGAGGCUGAGCAGUCUCCUGUUUAGAGAAAUGGGACAGUAAGGUGAGGAGGUGACUCUAACCCUCAAUCUUUCCAGAGUGGGCAACGGACGAAUCGAAUCCAGAUGUUCUUGACCAGAGCGGAUUCCCGAAGGAAGAGGAAAGGCUCCAGCCAGGACAGCACGUGUCAACAAUUUUUCAAAUCGUUUUAACUCCGUUAUCAGUACGAAUCCGGACAUUGUUAGAGAAUCGGAAACCAAAUGAACACCAAGAACAAACGGACGAGAGAGAGAGAAAGCUGCACGAAAGGACGUUAGUGACUCAGGACACCAGUAUUUCUCACUAAGGAUCAUAUCACAAAAACUUGGAUAGAGGAACGAUGGAACUGAAACUGUCAGAGGAAUAUAGUUUCGAUACUUGGAGCUGACGGUGAUUCUCAAUGUUCAGAGUGGCAAAGCUUGUUUAUUAUCAGAUAUUACUGAUACGAUUUGUUAGCAAAUUGGGUAAACCAUUUAUCAAUGAUUUUAACCUUGCCCAAUAUCCAGGUCCAGAGUACAGUUUCAUUAAUUGCCUGUUAUGCAACAAUAAUAACACUUCUGGUACACCCUAAUCAUUACAAUUCAGAUUGCUUCUUCUAGCAUGGUUUAGCAGAACGAUUUUCAGCAACUGAUACAAUCUGGUAUAGAGAAGAGGUGGACAAAAGCAGAAGAUUGACAAAAAAAUAGUUCUAGAGUAUCAUGUCCUACUUUUGUGAUGAAUGCCCAGUGGUUCACAGACAAAUCUAAACAGAAGGUUUGAGACCAAACCUUAAAGAGGCUUUGGCCUCAGUAACAUGAGUUGAGCUGUGGGGAUGCAUUGCAUUUUCAGAGUGACCUUUUGUCUCAAUGGUAACAAUCCCAUAGUGGCAAAUCAGAUUCAUUGUAGGUUCAUGCCUCACAGAAUACUUCUAAUAACACUUUUUUGGUGGCAGUCACUGUUUGAAUGCUGAGUACAGCAGACUAACUGCCACAAAUACCCGUAUGUUAACACCUUAAUUGACAUAUGCAAGAGCUUAAAGUCUAUUUUAAACAAAUCUAAGGGUUUGCCUGAGAAAUGGCUUCACCCAACUUCAGAUCUGAUGGCUUCUAGGUUGUCCUUUUAACUGUGAGAUUUUUGUUUCCAAAAUUUAUUCCCAUUUCAUUUAUUUUGCAGGCAUAAAACAGCUACAGAUUUUUAAAUUCAUUCACGGGAUGUGGACAUCACUGGCUGAGUGAACAUUGAUUGACAAUACUAAUUGCCUUGUGGUGGUGAGCUGCCUCCUUGAACCAUUGUUGACCAUGUACAGUAGGUACAUGUCAUUGAGAAUGGAGACCCAGGAUUGUGUGAGAUUCACUUUCUAGGUCCUAAUCCUUUAGGGAGCAUAAAAUCAUAAGAAUUAGGAUCAAGAGUAGGCCUUUUGGUCCCUAGUGCCUGCUUUGCUAGUCAGUGCAAUCGUGGUUGAUCAAAUUGUGGCCUUAACUCCAUUUUCAUUGCUGCCCUGUCUGCCUCUUGACUCCCUGGUUCAACAAAAAUAUGUUUUACUCCUUCAUGGAUACAUUCAAAAGUUCAGGCAUCACCAAAGUCUACAAACUCUCAGACGAAAUGUCCCGAUAUUUGUUUGACCUACAACAAAUCUUGCAAGUAUUGCAUGCAUUUUCUUUCAAUUUGAUACAAUCCUUGACCUUUUAUAAUUAGCUAUGAAUAGUGCAUCCUUGUUAUCAUUUUUCUUUCUGAUUGGAAUAUAUCUUUUGAGGUAUGAAAUAUUCCCUUAAAUAUUUGCUACACUUUCUCAACUGUCCUACAUUUAAACUAUUUCACCAGUCCACUUUAACCAACUUUAUUAUCAUUCCUUGUUUUUAUUUAAACUUAAGACACUGGUCAUCGGUCUAUGUUUCUUACUCUGAGGCAGAAUGUGAAAUUCUAUUAUGUUAUGAUUAUUGUUGUCUGGAAGCUCCAUUUGUUAUGAAAACAUUAAUUAAUCCAGUCUCAUUUUACUUGACCAGGGUCAAAAUAGCCUGUUCCCUGAUUGACUGACUCUAAAACUUAUUGGUCUAAGAAAUUGACUAAACUUUAUGACCUCUUCUUCCUGAUUUUCUUUUGCCCAUUUUAUAUGAACAUUAAAAUCACCUAUGAUUAUUGUAGUACACUUUUAGCAAGCCCCUAAUUAUUUAUUCAUGUAUACUCUGCCCUUUAAUCCAACUAAUGUUCAGGGACCUAUAAAAUACUUCCACAAGUAACUCUUUUUUUGCUAUUUCUUAAUAUCCACAAACUAAUUCUCUAUCUUACUCUUCUGAUCAAGGUAAUCUCUUAUGACUAUAUUAAUCUCAUCCAUUAAAACAGAGGUACCUCACCAUCUUUUCCUUUCUUCCUGUCCUUCCAAAAUACUGUCAAAGUGUAUAAUAUUCCAAUCUAAGUCUUGAUUACAAUGAAACCAUUUCUCUGAAAUACCCUAUCAGAUUAUACUUAUUUCUUUCUGUUUGUGCUAUUAAUUUGUUACGAAUGCUGCGGAUCAGAACUUUUUAACUCUGUCCUUUUUAUUGUUUUUCUGACCUUACCUUCGGGUAUACUCUUAAGUUUGUACUUUGUUCCUCCUGCCUCACUUUGGUUAUUAUCACCCAUGCACAGCCAUAUUGCCUUGUCCUUCCUAAUUUCUCAAGUCUUUCUUCAUGUGAUCAAUGUCCUUAAGAAACAGCCAGGGAGGUUGGUGGAAUUGAUGUCAGAAUCACAUGAGGUGCUGGUGAAAACCAAAUCAGAAUUGUUUGUAUUGAACUUUAUAAGACUGUGACUGAUCCAACCCUCAAUUUUUGGACAGGUUGUCAGAUUGAAUUGGAAGCAGAAAAUGGUGGUAAUACAUAGGAAGAUUUAAAUAUUAGUUAUUUAUUCAUGUAAGAUGACUUCUUGUUUAUGAAUUAUAUCUCUGAGAACAGUCGUGUGGAUUAUGAAUGGGUGGUGAGGAAAGCCGGAAUCCUGGAGGUAAUGUAA